GUCGAACACUGAGAGCUUACUUGAGCAUAGUUUAAGAAUUUGUAAGUGUCCUUUGUAAUUUCCUAAGUAUCCUUUGUAAUUUCCUUUCUCCCUUUCAAGUAUGUAUAUUUCUCUAGUUCUUUUAUACCUAUCUUGCUAAAGGGAGUUGUGUACCGCUUUCAUUACACGCUUUAUUUUUUGAGGUAACAAGAAUUGUGGAUAGACAAAGUGAGGCGAUUUCGAUCAUUAGAAUGCCUGCAAAUAGAGAAAUAAUCAACAAAUGUAUCAAUUGACUGAUUCUCAGAGAACAUAAAGAUGACUUCUGUUCUAGUUUCACAUUUGCAAAACCGAGCAUUAGUGGAUUAAUUAUGAAUAUCAGUUGACUGAUAUCGAUUGGGAAUUGAACAAAAGUAAAUCAAUUUGACUAUUCGAUUCGAUUGAUGACAUUAGUUGACUAAUGAAGGAUACAAGUUAACUGAUAUUGAUCGGAUACCGAACAGAAACAAAUUGAUUCGACUUAUCCAAUUAGUCCAUUGAUGGUGAUAAAAAAUCGAACAAAAAUAAAUUGAUUUGAUUAUUAAACUCAAUUGAUUGCUAUCCAUCGAUUGUUAGAAUUUUGGGACCAUAAUUGUAAUUAUAAAUGUCUAAUGUCAUCAAUUAAAGAAGUCAUAGUUUAAUGUGAUCUAAUUUAUGAUUAAGGAAUAUGACUUAAGGGUUUAAUUGUUAUGAAUAAAUUAAUGUGGAUACCAUGUGCAAUUUCUAAUUUGUUGAGGAGACAAAUUAGAAAUAAGCAACUUAGGCUUCUAUAAAUAAGGGUUAUGGUCCCAGUUUGCAGAUGAUGCUUUUGUUUUGUUUUCUCAUCAACAAAACUCUCUAGAUACUAAGGAAGAUCUGCAAAUUGAAGAUCUUGACCAAAAUCGAUUGUAUACUAUGGAUUCUGGUACGCUUCCGUAAUUUUAUCUAUUCCGUUUACAAUUUCUUAAGAAUUGAAUAGAAUGCAUAAGUUUUAUGUUGAGAUUUCUCAACUUAUUUUUUUCAUCAAUUGGUAUCAGAGCCUUCUAUUCCAAAUUCUUAAGUAAAAUUUUUAUUUUGGGUACAAAAUUUUAUUUUUUUUGUGCAAUCUCGGUUUUGGUUCAUGAUAUAUCAUGUUGUGAUUUUAUUCAUUACGAUUUUCUGCACUGUUCUGUGUCACAAUCGGUUGGAAAAAUUUGUGACUGCAUCACAAAUUCCACCCCGGAAGGGAAAGCGACAUGGGAGGUUGCUUGCAACCGGUUUCUUAGGCCACCGACGACCAGCUUCAUACUGGAGGUUGUUUUCCGGAUCAAAAUAAAGUGUUACAGUUGGCCGGAGAUGCGCCUGUGGCUGGCGAGUUGGCUAUGGCCGCCUCUCGCUAUUUCGUGACCGGCGUUCGGCGCUGGAAAGGGCUGCCGAGUGCUUCGGUAUCCUGUCGAUUGGUUGUCGUGAUAGGCAACUAUAGUUGUGGCAGUUCAUGCGGUGUGGAGGCGUGUAGCGAAAGUGGCAAAGAAACAGUUCGUUUCUUUGUAAAUAGUUUGCGGAAAAAAAACCACCCACGUACAUGGAACGUGGAGUGAGGCCACGUACAUGGUGUGAUGGCCACGUACAUGGAGUGAGGCCACGUUUAAGGAUAACAAGUUUUAUCAAAUUUUAUAUUUUAGAAUUUUGAUAAAAGGAUGCAUGCUUUCACUGAGGAAUCAAAAUAUUACACAUCAGUAAUAUAAUUUCCCCCAUUAAAUGAUAAUCCAUUAAAUUUAUUAUUUAAAUUAAAUAAUCAAUUUAUUUUAUAAUAUUAAUUUAAUUGGAUUAUAUAGGUUUUAUUAAUAUCUAUUAUUUUAAAUUAAAUUAAAUUUGAAUUAUAUGUCGCCAAAGUGACCUCUAUUAUUUGAAUUUAAUUUUAUUUGAAAUAUUGAGGUAUUAAAUAAAGUGUAAAUGUGUAUAUUUCUAUGAGUAUUAAUCGGCCCAAAGGAAGAUUUAUACUUAACAAAUUAUACAUUUACUUGUGAUAAUAAACACGUAACAAUUAUAAGGAUUUCUUUGGUUCAUGCAUAUAAUAAAUAGAUCCAAAGAUAGGUUUAUUAUUUGUCAUGCAUUAUUGUUAGUGUUUGAUUAUUACAGAAAAAAGUACCACUUGCAAAUAAUAUUACUGUCCAAAGACUUGAUAUUGUUGUUGCAUUAGGUAUCUUUAGAUGGGAUUUGCCAUUUGUUUUUUAAUUAAUUCAAAAUGAGCAUGUUAUUUAUGUUAAAUUCUUGUGUUCUCUUUUCAGCAAAUGUUGCUACUAUUUCUGCUAACUUAAGUCCAGUGCCGAUCCUUAAUGGUACAAAUUUUAAGGAUUAGAAGGAGAACAUUUUAAUUGUUCUUGGCUGCAUGGAUCUAGACCUUACACUUCGGACAGAGCAACCCACUGCUCCUACAGAUACUAGUUCCUCUUAACUGAGGGCUAAAUAUGAGAAGUGGGAUCGCUCUAACCACAUGAGUCUUAUGAUCAUCAAGCGCGGCAUACCUGAGGCUUUCAGGGGCGCGGUGUCUAAUAGUGUCACCAAAGCUAAGGAAUAUCUCGAUGAGAUUGAAAAGCACUUUGCCAAAAGCGAUAAGGUGGAAACAAGCACAAUUCUGAAGAGCUUGAUUUCCAUGAAGUAUAAAGGCAAGGGAAAUAUUCGGGAAUAUAUCAUGGAAAUGUCCCACCUUUCAUCAAAAUUGAAGGCACUUAAUCUUGAAUUGUCAGAUGACAUGCUUGUGCAUUUAGUGCUUAUAUCUCUCCCGAACCAGUUCAGUCAGUUCCAAAUCAAUUAUAACUGUCAAAGGGAGAAAUGAACUCUUAAUGAGCUCAUUUCAUACUGUGUUCAAGAGGAAGAGAGGUUGAAGCAAAUCAAGGCUGAAAGUGCCUAUUUGGCAAGCACCCCUAAAGAUAAGGGCAACAAAAGAAAGAAUGAGGCUACUAAAGGUCCUUAUGUGAAGAAACAAAAGCAGGAUACUAACAAGAAAGGUUGUUUCUUCUGUAACAAGCCUAAUCAUGUCAAGAAAGAAUGUCCUAAGUACCAUGCAUGGCGUGCGAAAAAGGGCUUGCCUGAGCUACCGAAAGCCAACUGAUGCUGAAAGAUGCAUUUAUAUGGAUGAUGGCAAGUCGGUUGAGGUGGAAGCAAUAGGGCAUUUUAGAUUAUUGUUAAGCACUGGUUACUAUUUAGACUUAAUAGAUACUUUUGUUGUACCAUCAUUUAGACGAAAUUUGGUUUCUGUUUCUAA